rnacentral:rRNA from 1 species
GAUGAACGCUGACAGAAUGCUUAACACAUGCAAGUCUACUUGAACUUCGGUUUGGGUGGCGGACGGGUGAGUCACGCGUAAAGAACUUGCCUCACAGUUAGGGACAACAUUUGGAAACGAAUGCUAAUACCUGAUAUUAUGAUUUUAGGGCAUCCUAGGAUUAUGAAAGCUAUAUGUGCUGUGAGAGAGCUUUGCGUCCCAUUAGCUAGUUGGAGAGGUAACGGCUCACCAAGGCGAUGAUGGGUAGCCGGCCUGAGAGGGUGAACGGCCACAAGGGGACUGAGACACGGCCCUUACUCCUACGGGAGGCAGCAGUGGGGAAUAUUGGACAAUGGACCAAAAGUCUGAUCCAGCAAUUCUGUGUGCACGAUGACGUUUUUCGGAAUGUAAAGGGCUUUCAGUUGGGAAGAAAAAAAUGACGGUACCAACAGAAGAAGUGACGGCUAAAUACGUG